UGCGACAAAGGCAAACCCGCUCGAAAGACGGGGGCGCAAAGCGAUGGGCCUUCGGUUCGGUGCCCCCACCGGAUAACCGAUGGUUGCCAAGCUGCCGAAC
rnacentral:ncRNA from 1 species